rnacentral:lncRNA from 1 species
AUGCUGAAGUGAUGAGACUGGGGAAGAAUGGUGUGGAGGAAGUUUCGGAAUUGGGUCCUCUCUGAAACUUGGCUUUGCAGCUCCGAAAGUGACCAUACUUAUAGCUAAUUAGCUCACUUGCAACAUUUGAUGUUUGUAGGAGAAAGAUAUUGAGGGGUUGAGAUAAGGAAGGAAGCACUCUGGGCAUGCUUUGCAGUGGAACCUGAUUUUGAGGCAAUGAUUU